GGGUUUGGUGCAGGAGCUGGUGCAUGAUGAUGAUGCUUGUGCUUGUGUUUUCUUUUCAUCUUGUGUUUUCCAGGAGCUGGUGCUGGGGAAGGCACUAAUGAUGGUGAGGGGGCUGGUGGUGGAAUAGCUGGUGCUGGCACAGGUGCCGGUGGUGGUGUUGCUGGUGCGGGUGCAGGUACUUCCUUAGCUGGAGCUGGUGCUGGUGGUGGUGUUGCUGGAGCUGGUGCUGGAGACACUUGUGGUGGCGGUGUAGCUGGUGGUGGUAUUGGAGUGGCAGCUGGAGAACUUUGUGGUGGUUGUGGUGGUGGAACUACUGGGGUGGUAGCUG
rnacentral:lncRNA from 1 species